rnacentral:rRNA from 1 species
UGUUUGGGAAUGCAGCUCAAAAUGGGUGGUAAAUUCCAUCUAAAGCUAAAUAUUGGCGAGAGACCGAUAGCGAACAAGUACCGUGAGGGAAAGAUGAAAAGCACUUUGGAAAGAGAGUUAAACAGUACGUGAAAUUGUUGAAAGGGAAACGAUUGAAGUCAGUCGUGUUCAUUGGAUUCAGCCGGUCUUCGGUGUACUUCCUUUGAACGGGUCAACAUCAGUUUUGCCCGGUGGAUAAAGGCAGUAGGAAUGUGGCCUCUCCGGAGGUGUUAUAGCCUAUUGUCACAUACACUGGGGGAGACUGAGGACUGCAGCUCGCCUUUUGGCCGGGGUUCGCCCACGUUCGAGCUUAGGAUGUUGACAUAAUGGCUUUAAACGACCCGUCUUGAAACACGGACC